rnacentral:lncRNA from 1 species
AUCAUCCACAUAGACUGCUACAAUCACAAGGGACCCUGGUGUACCUUUGAUGAAUAGAGAAUAAUCAUUCAAAGAAUGUCUAUAGCCUCUGGAAUAUAAGGCAGAAGACAAUUUGGCAUACCAUUGUCUGGAUGCCUGUCUUAGCCCAUACAGGGAUUUGUUCAAUUUGCAAACAAGGGGAGUAGAGGCAGAGGAGGCAGAAACAGAAUCAAGAGUAGAAACCGUCAAACCUAGAGGGAGCUUCAUAUAAACCUCCUCAUCCAAAUCACCAUGUAUGAAAGCAUUAUUAACAUCCAGUUGAAAUAAAUUCCAAUGAUUUUUCACAGCCACAUCAAUAAGACACUUAAUAGUGCACAUUUUAACCAUAGGAGAAAAGGUGUCAGUGAAAUCAAUACCUUCAACCUGAGUAUCUCCUCUAAUAAGAAGUCUAGCUUUGUACCUUUCAACACAGCCAUCAGCCUUGUAUUUGAUUUUAUAAACCCAUUUACAACCAAUGGGUUUCUUACCAGGAGGAAGAGGAACAACAUCCCAAGUAAUUUUAUAAACCCAUUUACAUCCAAUGGGUUUCUUACCAGGAGGAAAAGGAACAACAUCCCAAGUAUGGUUUGUGUCCAAAGCAUCAAACUCCUUUCUCAUGGCAUCUUGCCAUACUGGAACAGAUUUAGCUUGAGAGUAAUAUAGAGGUUCAGAUUCCAAAGAAGAGGAAGAUGAAGAUCUAGAGAAGGCAGGAAGUUGACAGACAUAAUCCUUAAGAUAAGAGGGAGGAUUAUGCUGUUUUUGAGGUUUUCUGGGAGCAGGAACAGAAGGGGAAGAGGCCAAAGCAGGAGGGGAGAUAUCAGGAUUGAAAGAAGGAAUUAAAGCAGAAUCAAUAGUGUCAGGAGAAAUAUGAUGAGGUGCUUGAACAGAUGUAGGAGGAAGAGGACAGGAGAUGGGAAUGGGAGAAUCUGGAUCAUCAGAAUGUUCUACAGGUGGAACAAAAGGAAAGGAGAACAGUCCCCCCAGAAAGACACAGGUAGCCCAAAUUGGAAAAGUAAAGCUCUACAUAUUUCAAGGAGGGUUCUAUGCUUUCUUUCAACAACACCAUUCUGUUGAGGAGAAUGAGGGCAGGAGGCUUGAU